rnacentral:rRNA from 1 species
GACGAACGCUGGCGGCGUGCUUAACACAUGCAAGUCGAACGGUGAAGCGCUUGCCUUUUUGGUGGGUGUGGAUGAGUGGCGAACGGGUGAGUAACACGUGAGUAACCUGCCCUCUUCUUCUGGAUAACCUCAUGAAAGUGGGGCUAAUACGGGGUAUUCCGGGUCUGUCGCAUGGCGGGUUUGGGAAAGAUUGCGCCUUUGGGUGUUUUCGGUGGGGGAUGGGCUCGCGGCCUAUCAGCUUGUUGGUGGGGUGAUGGCCUACCAAGGCGGUGACGGGUAGCCGGACUGAGAGGGUGGACGGCCACACUGGGACUGAGACACGGCCCAGACUCCUGCGGGAGGCAGCAGUGGGGAAGAUUGCACAAUGGGCGCAAGCCUGAUGCAGCGACGCCGCGUGAGGGAUGGAGGCCUUCGGGUGGUGAACCUCUUUCGCCAGUGAAGCAGGCCUGCUCCUGUGUGGGUGGGUUGACGGUAGCUGGAUAAGAAGCGCCGGCUAACUACGUG